rnacentral:rRNA from 1 species
UACGGGGGGGGCAAGCGUUGUUCGGAAUUACUGGGCGUAAAGGGCUCGUAGGUGGCCAACUAAGUCAGACGUGAAAUCCCUCGGCUUAACCGGGGAACUGCGUCUGAUACUGGAUGGCUUGAGUUCGGGAGAGGGAUGCGGAAUUCCAGGUGUAGCGGUGAAACGCGUAGAUAUCUGGAGGAACACCGGUGGCGAAGGCGGCAGCCUGGACCGACACUGACGCUGAGGAGCGAAAGCCAGGGGAGCAAACGGG